UUUUAAUCUCCUUACCCUCAACUUCCAUGCCCCUCUCUAAUUCCCAUGAACCAAACACCCUGUAAGAGGAAACGAUAAUGGGGGGAGGGGCCAUGAUCUGCAUUGCGGCCGCCCCACCAUCCGUCGCGAUAUGCGCUGCGGCCUCCGCCAUCGGCGCCGUCCAACAGGGCUGCCGCCAUCCGUGGCCCCGCCGUCGACCGGCCCGGCCACCGCCUCCAUGACCACCUUGGCUCAGCCCCUUCUCGUGCACAAGGUCUCCUCUUGCCCAGCGACCACAUAGGUGAAUCUCAGAUCGAGCAAGUGCGGCUGGCUGUUCCUACAACUGAUGAUCCAACACUUCCUGCACUUACAUGCAGAGUAUGGAUCCUUGGGAUCACAGGAUGCAUCAUCCUCUCAUUCAUCACCAUGCUGACCACUUUCAGACAAAACCCGGUUAAUAUUCCGGAAUUUUCAAUUAUUAUGUUGUGCUACUCUCUAGGCAAACUCAUGGCUGCUGUUCUUCCAGCCAAAGUUGUGAGGGUCCCUGGAACCAAAAUUGUGUUCUCACUGAACCCUGGCCCAUUCAGUCUAAAGGAACAUAUACUGUGUUGCAUGAUCGCUAAUAAUGGUUUAGGGGCUUCUCCUGCAAUAGAUAUUUUGGCAGCCACAAAGGCCUAUUUCAGAAGAUCUAUUCACCCAGUUGCAGUUUUUUUGCUUCUACUCACAACAAGUAAUAUUUCUUGUGGAUUUAUUGGCUUCUUCAUGAAGUUCUUUGUGAACCGCUCAGAGAUGUGGUGGCCUGAAAUCUUACCCAUGGUAACAAUGUACAGGGCAUUUCAUGAGAAGGAGGAAAGAUCAAAGGCAACACUACCAAGAAAUAAAUUUUUCUUCUUGGUCUUUGUCAUUAGUUUUUCGUACUAUACCAUUCCGGGUUACUUCUUCCCUUCUGUUAGUGCAUUGUCAUUUGUUUGCUGGGUUUGGAAAAGGUCUAUCACUGCUCAGCAAAUUGGCUCUGGUUAUAAUGGUUUGGGGAUUGGCUCAUUUGGCCUUGAUUGGUCGACAGUUAGCGGCUUCACUGGCAGUCCUCUAAUGUUCCCUUUCUUUGUCAUUGUCAACACGAUGGUUGGGUUUAUCUUAUUCAUGUACAUUGUCGUCCCUUUUGCUUACUGGAGCAAUUCAUUUAAAGCGAAGACAUUUCCUAUUGUCAGUACAGAAGUGUAUGAUAACUAUGGUGGUAGAUAUAACAUGUCUAGGGUCUUGGAUGAGAGUAAUUUUCAAUUUAAGCAAGAAGGCUAUGAAAAUUAUUCGAAGUUGUACUUGAGUAUUACACGGGCAUGCUCGAUUGGAUUUGGACUUGCAUCUCUGGGAGCAUCUCUUACAGAUAUAGUACUAUCUCAUGGCAGAUCAUUUUGGAACCAAUUAAACCAAUCAAUUGAUGGCCGAGGCAGUCGUGAUGUUCAUGUGCAAAUGAUGGAUAAGUACAAAAGCAUUCCUGUGUGGUGGUUUAUUCUUCUUCUAUUACCAAUGAUUGGUCUGGCAGUGUUUACCUGUGAAGGGUUUGGGAAUGAAUUCCAGCUUCCUUACUGGGGAAUUAUUCUUGCAUGCUUGCUUGUACUUCUGUUCGUCCCACCUUGCGCAGCACUCCGGGCCACCGUUGCUCAGAACCCAUCGACUGAGUUGCUAUCACAUAUCAUCAUUGGGUACUUGUGCCCUGGACGACCAUUGGCCAAUAUGGUUUUUGAACUGUACUGCUCAAUAAAUAUUGACUAUUGUCUUGAGAUUCUUGCAUCUUACAAGCUUGGAUUUUACAUGAAAAUUCCUCCUAGAGAAAUGUUCUUUGCUCAGGUAACCAAAGAAAAAGAAAUUAUCCGACAUUUUUUUCUUCUCAUUUUACAUAUUGCUACAUUUGUUUACUGGGUUGUCCUUAAAUGUGACUUUUUACAUUAUUUGUUUCUUCUUGAUACAUACAUCUUGUGAGUUGAUAAGUUAAGAGUCUUAAGUUUCAAAGGUAUGGUAGAAAUUUUGAGUUGUUUGCAAUCUCGUAAAUACACUGAAUAAUGAAGGCUCUGGUGUUUACACUUUCAGCACACUUAUCAAAAGUUUAUGAAAUCCCAUUUUGUUCCCUGUUACAUUCUACAUUUUCCAUACAUCAGUCUUUUUGUUUCACUCAAAUUUGGACAUAUGCAAUUAUAAUUGUGACACAUACUACAUCCCUUCCAAAAUGUAGACCAUUUAAAGUUGGUAAAAUUAGGGUUAUAGGUAUAAUGCUACCCUUCAUUUAUUCCUAUAUCAAAAGUAUACAGAGUGUGUAGAAAGACUUACAUUUUUUGGACCAAACUAAGUAUGUGCCUGUGCGUUGCCAUGGGGGCCAAAUAUUUUUUAACACAGUAAGACGACCAUAUGCGACAAAUCUUGAUGCAAAACACAGACAAAAUAAAAAUAUGCUUUGGAUAUAUAAAGCGUAAUUCUUUUGUCAUUUCUUAAACUGGCAAAAUAGGUAUGUGCCCAUGAUAAGAUAUCGAUUGAUAUUUAUUUGUCUACGAUCCAGGAAUUUAUUGCUAUUUGUCGAGUUACCAAAGAUGGCUGACCGGUAUCAGGUUUUACCAUAAGAAACAAUUUAUUGCUAUAUACCGUAGAUUGAUCUGGUUUAUUGGGUUACUAAAGAUUGGUUUGCUGAUAGCCAGAAGGGGAUGGAAAACCAGGGAAAAUCGGUGGAUGGUGGAAGGUUGGACGAAGGGGUGGUGGGGAGAAAACCGAGUAAAAGAUGGGACCUUACUUUCUAAGUAGUAGAGAUUAAAACUUAUAUUUUGGAGCGGAGAUGGUAUAACAAGUGGGACUGCACUAAUUCUACCUCAUGUAACAGAGCAAAUUUUACUUAAUUUGGACAAUGGGUUUGCUACAAGUCUGUUGGUAGGUUGAGCCAAAUAAAAAGUUAUCACUAAUGUGCACCCAGUUAUGCAUCCAAAAUCUUAAUUUGUACCCAAACUUGAUUUAGUUUUGCCCCCCCCCCCCCAUCAUGGAUGACGUGGACAUAGCCCUACACUUGCAUUUGUUUUAAAUAUCAUAGGGAAUACACACUGGGACAGUAUGUGAAAUCCCGGCUUAAUAGAUAGACUACUCUUAUCAACAAGGUGCACCUUGUUUUCCGGGAGCCCACCUGAAAGGAACCUCAAAGUUAAGCAUGCUCGGCUUGGAGCAAUUUGAGGAUGGGUGACCAACCGGAAGUUGAUCCAGGGUGCGCAUUAGGGAGGACAAAGUGCAUAGGAAAGACUAGUGUUGGUCUGUGGGGCCAGUUUAGAUCCCGGCAAGGAACCGGUGGGUGAACUAGUUGGUUUGGCCGGGGCAUUACAAUUGGUAUUAGAGACGACCCUCACGGUUAUACGGCCGUGCGUGAGUCAGGUGCACGGGCAUGUGGUGCAUGGCACGUGCGGCCCAUCGUGGCACACAGCAUGUCACAUGUGCCGGCCUGGACGCACAGACGUGUGCCAAGAUGAAAUGUUCCUACUGGGCCGACAAGUACGUCGGUUCCUUUGAGUGGGGGUGUAUGUGAUAUCCCGACUUAACAGGAAUGAUAGACUACUCAUAUCAACAAAGUGCACCUUCUUUUCCGGGAGCCCAUCUGAAAGGAGAAUCAAAGUUAAGGGUGUUUGACUUGGAGCAAUUUGAGGAUGGGUCACCGACCCGGAAUUUAAUCCCGGGUGCGCCGGAGUAAGUACAAAGUGCGCAGGAAUGACUAGUGUUGGUCUAUGGGGCCAGUCUAGAUACCAGGCGCAACAGCCAGGAACCGGUUGGUUUGGCCAGGGCGUUACACAGUCGAAAUCAUCUCUAAUUCUAGAGGGCACUGAAACCCCUUUACCUGGUUUCGUCGCCUUCCAUUUGACCUUAAGUCGUUGAAUGCACUGUGGCCGGUGAUACACCCCUCGAGAGGCUAGUCGUCGAAUAGCUGCUUGCUCGUUGUACCAUCGAGGAAGAAGGCCGGUAGCACAAAUACACGACAAAAAGAGCAUCACUGACAAAACCACACUUGACACCAUAGCAGCUGCCGUGAUCAAGAAAGUCUGAAGCAUUGGGCAGCAAUCCGUCGGGGCCAAAACACCACAUGCUCCAAGGUAUUGGCCACGAUGACCACACCAUGACAAGCAUAGAGCCAUGCGGCUUUUAGGUUCACAUUGAUGUCACAAGGGAGCUCUAUACUAACCCAUGGCUUAGCCGAGCUGGUUCACUGGAGCCAAGGUCAUCACACGCAGAGAACACACCCAAAACCAUGUCAAGUUUGAGUAUGCCGAGACCUCCCAAAUCCUUAUGCGAGCAUACCAUGCCCCAGUUCACCAAAGCAUGGCCAACACCGAAGUGCUCAACUUCACGCCUUUCCAAAUGAAACAUCUUCUAAUUUUGUCAUCAUGAGGUAGAUGCAAAUGGCUGUGAGCACAAAUUUGAUGAGGACAAUUCUUCCAUCAUGGAUCUCAUUUUUUUGCACCCACCUCGUCAACUUUGCCUCAAACUUAUCAAUGAGCGGCAUGUAGUGGCAUUACGAUGGUUCACAUGAAUUCCACUUUCACACCCAAAACAAUCGAGGAUGCAAAAAGCCAUUAAAAAUUCGAUGGUUUCUCUCUUUCCAGGCAUUCCACACGAUGUAAAUAAUGUGCUCGCUAUGCCUCCGUUUCGUGUUAGUUGAGAAGAUGCAAAAAGCUGUCCCACCAAGCGUCUAUCAGGGAUAAGUGGAAGCUCAAUCCGGAGGGACGUGGUUGUCCAUCUAAGAUAGCACAAGGUGGCGGACGACGAUGGUGAAGGGGCAGUCCCUACAAAGGUAGAGCACAGCCUCUACGGCCCUAAGACAAAGUUGGCAGAUAGGAUCAUGCAACCAAUCCUGUUGCACCGUCCGGUCCGUGGUGAGAAUCUUUGAGUGGAGGACAAGCCAAGAGAAGAGUCUGCAUUUCAACUCAGCUUGGGCUUUUCAAAUUUCUCCACCAAGAAUCUGCUAUGAGUCUCGAUGAAUUGUGCCUCAUAGGCAGAACUGGAGGAAUACUAUUUACUGGAGCUCCAGAGCCAGGUGAUGAUGCCCGACUGAUCGGGUUGAAGAGCCACCAAGCCGAUGCCAAGGCAAUGUACUCCCACACCUGCCCAAGUCUGUUUAAUCUUGCCACCCGAGUGAAUCCAGUUGUUGUCGUGUAGCUCACAAUGUACCAUCUUGUUUUUCCUAGUCACAAUGUCAAAGAGUUGAGGGCAGCAGUGGCGGAGCACCCCAGCACCAGACCAGUUGUUGUGCAAGAAGGCCUUUCUACCUUCGUCAAUGGUGAUGGAGGUGGAAGCUUGGAAGAUGUCCAUGUCCGCGGAGUCGCAAGGGAGCGAAGAGCCCACCCACAAUAGACCAGGAUCGUUCCACUGCAACCAAGGCCAAUGCACAUGGAGGCCCUCCCAAACCGGUCCAAAUCGUGACAGACAGAUCAGGAUCGUUCCGCCGCAACCAAGGCCAAUGCAGAUGGAGGCUCUCCCAAACCGGUCCAAAUCUGUGGCACCCAGCCCGCCAAGCACCUUGGGAUGGCACACCUGAUAACGCAGGUAGUGUCCCUCAUUGAUUCGGUUUACCUACCGGAGAUGACCCCUAAAAAUGUAUGAAACAUUGACGACAAUAGUGGUAUGUGAAGAUACUCAUAUUGAAGACUAUGACAUUAGAAGACAUUGAGUGAAGACUAUGGAGCGCGAAGACUGUGUCGUCUCGUUGUUUCCUUUUUCUUCUUUGUUGAGUCAUAGAAACCACCGUACUGUUA